GUCUCAUUGAUUAUCGUCAUUUCCUUUGAGAAUUUUGGUGGGGUUCGAUCGAAUUGAUAGCGAACGAGAGAGCGAGAGAUCGAAGCAGUAAUGUCAGGACUAGGUAUGCUCAAGCAAGCGAAGCCAAAGAUCCAAGCGGCGGAUAUUCAGGCCGCCGCAGGAUGGGGCGUCGCUGCCGCUGCCGGCGCCGUCUGGCUCGUCCAACCAUUUGAUUGGAUAAAGAAGACUUUCAUUGAUAAACCCGCACCUGAAGAGAAGUGAGAAGUCACCAAGAAUCAAGACAGUGCGAGAGCUUUUACAGUUUUUAAGUUUGUAAUCGCAUCAUUGCGAUGGAGCUGAAUAAAUUUUGGUUUUUUUCUGGGGCUUUGUGGUUUCAUGUCUUCAAUGUAGACUUUUUGUCUUCUCAAAUGUUAUAACACAAGAAAAAGCAUACACUCCAAAUUAUCAGAAAAGAGAACCCAUUUUGCUUUUUUUAUAUACGUUGUUAUUUCCAUA